CAGUAGCCGCGGGAAUACGUAGGUGGCAAGCGUUGUCCGGAAUUAUUGGGCGUAGAGGGCUCGCAGGCGGUUUCUUAAGUCUGAUGUGAAAGCCCCCGGCUCAACCGGGGAGGGUCAUUGGAAACUGGGAAACUUGAGUGCGGAAGAGGAGAGUGGAAUUCCACGUGUAGCGGUGAAAUGCGUAGAGAUGUGGAGGAACACCAGUGGCGAAGGCGACUCUCUGGUCUGUAACUGACGCUGAGGAGCGAAAGCGUGGGGAGCGAACAGGAUUAGAGACCCCAGUAGUCCCUGUCUCUUAUAA
rnacentral:rRNA from 1 species